rnacentral:rRNA from 1 species
UACGAGGGGGGCAAGCGUUGUUCGGAAUUAUUGGGCGUAAAGGGUGCGUAGGCGGUUUUGUAAGUCUUGUGUGAAAUCUUCAGGCUCAACUUGAAGACUGCACGAGAAACUGCAGGGCUUGAGUGUGGGAGAGGUGAGUGGAAUUCCUGGUGUAGCGGUGAAAUGCGUAGAUAUCAGGAGGCACACCUGUGGCGAAAGCGGCUCACUGGACCACAACUGACGCUGAUGCACGAAAGCUAGGGGAGCAAACAGG